rnacentral:lncRNA from 1 species
UCCAGCCAUCUCAUGCCCCAUGGUACAGUACCAUCGCCUCCGCGUUAAUGAUAAAUAUACACCAAUAUGACUUGCUCAAAUUCAUUCGAGAUGUAGACAAUGACAUGGAUUGUAGUUGUAUCAUCCGAGGACAAUCUGAUGGGUAAUUAAAUACAGGUUCAUAUAUGAUUUAAGAAAAUGACGCAUUUAACUUGGCGACAACAAGAUUUCAUGUUAACAAGUUUCCUCUUCUUAAUGGAUGUUACUACUACGGAUGUGUCUAGCUAGACACAUCUAAAUGUGACAUAGUUAUUUUACAUCUGAAUGAUUAAAUCAAAC